UUAGCAAAAAGGCUGGAAUUUGUACCAAGCUCUACAGGCAGAUAUUUGAUCUUUAUUACCUUUGUUUCACCUCCAGAUGUAUAAAGCGAUGGUCUGGGAGUUAGGAUGCUAUGUAAUUCUAGAAGCUUUCUGCAUUCAACUUUCCAGAGUCCUUCAUGGCAUGGCUAAUGUUCUUCAGGCAGUCACAGUACUCCUGCAGCAGUGAGAAAUUCCUGCAAUCUGAAAAAGUGGAGCACACAGUAUCCUUCUGUUUAUACAUGUUAUGAGGUGGUUGGCUGAGAUUCAGGUGAUAAAGCACUGAAAAAGUGUUGUAUUUCAAAAACAAAUGAGCUUGUUGGCCAGCUAUGAACAAUGUACCCAAGAUCUCGGUAGACCAGGAUAGUCACAACAAGAAAAGACUGGCAGGACGCCAAUUAGAUCUCAACGCUCUGGGAGACCAGACGGCACGUGAAGGUGAAGUGUCAGUUCAUGAAAACAAUUAAUAGUGUGUAGGAUUUAAGGGAUCCAUAAUAUCAUUGUUUCAGUAGUAAGAGCAAAUUGCUAGUGUGGAUGUUGCAGUGAAAAUGUCUUCUUGGUGUGCUCCAGAGAAACCCUAAACCAGACAGCUGGGUGAGAAAGGGCUGUGAGAGAGAAAUUCGGGGACAACCUUACAAAACAUUCCUUAAAACCAGUGAUAUGGCCUCAUACCUGUGCGCUAUUUCUCAAAAAGAUAUUGCAGAACUCGACAGGGUUCAGAGAAGAGCAACACAAAUGAUAAAGGCAGAUAAGCGAACUUCUCCGAAGAGAAUUUGAAACCCCCUUUGCUCUCAGGAAGGCCAUAAGAAGUGAGUAUGUCUGUAACGACUGAUCUAAGGAAGAGAGUCGGAAACUAGAGGAUCCUGCUGGUGUCUGGAUACAUGAACAAGAGAGGAGAUUCAAUAAACUGAAAGGCAGAAAAUGCA
rnacentral:lncRNA from 1 species